rnacentral:tRNA from 1 species
GGGAGUAUAGCUCAAUAUUAAAGUGUGUGCUUAGCAUGCACGAGGUCCUGGGUUCAAUCCACAGUACCUCCA